AUCAUAUGGGUCCUGUGUCCUCAGCUCCCAACCUUUAUCACUUUAGUUGUGUAUAAUGCUAAAGCAAUGAAAUAUUGCAAGAAUUAGGAAAGUACCGUGAGGUUUUAUGGUGACACUUGCCAAAAUAUCCCGGGAAGUGAACUUUGCCUUGAAGCGGUGUGAUGGGAUAUUAAGCCCAUUUCUGUGUUACGAAGUUACAUACAAGCCCAUUCCUUUUCACGAGGUAAAAGCAAACACAGAGCCCUGGAAGUCAUUGGCAGGGACUGUCACUAAAGGGACAGGGAGAAACAGUCAGCUCGAAGAAUUUAAUGAGCCACGGUGAUUUGGUGGUGGCUUAAAAGUGAAGCCGAGCCUCAGCUGUUCUCUCUAGUGUCAUCCUGAACUGACACUUUGAUUUUUCGUUUAGAGCUGAAAUGAUUCUCACCGAGUGUCCUCCCCAGCUGAUCCUGAGCAGCUGCGGGCACUUGGGCAGUGGGAACACCCUUGCUGCAGGGAGGAGGCCAGCACAGCUGCAUGCAGACAGCUGUCAGCAUUGGGUGGCUCUCAUCACUUGGUGGAGAUGGAGGUGCCUUCCACAAACCGUCCCAGCACUUCAUGUUGCAACACGUGCCUCCAGCCACCCUGCCUGUCUCCCUGUGAACUAUUCAUGAAAAUAAAAUGCAGGUCUGUGGGAAUACUGGCUAGCUCAGAUGAGGAAUUUUCCUGUGCUCCCAGUAGUGUGCUAUCACAGCCUUUCUCUGUUGGCCACACCAGGUGAUGUGGGUUUCAAUGUAAGACAGCUGUUUGAAGGCCCUGAGUGGUGCAGAGCCCCUUUAUUUUCACUGUACACAGGUUUUACUGAUAAUGAGAGUUCCAACAUAAGGAUGGAAAAUGAGGGUAGCAUGGAGAAAGAGCCUUUUAGGUGGGAGCUGUGAGCCAUACUAGGGGUACCUGGGUAUCCGCAGUAGUGAUGGAAAACUGAGGAAUUCUCCACCUGACUGAUGACUUCCUAGCUCCACUGAAGUCAACAGCAAAACUUCCAGCAAGUUCAGCAGGGGCACGAUUUCACUCAUGCAUUCAACAGAGUGGUUGGAAAUGCAGUUAAAGAGAAGGGAGAAUUUUAAGCGGAUUCCUCCUGCAUGGCAGUACAUAGGGUUAAAGGUUAACAACUGACCAAUUCCUCAGACAAGGUGUUAUUCAAAAUCAGGUACUUAAGACAUUUGCUAGAGGACUUAGCCAUUAUAGUUGUUUGGAAUCAGUGCAUUUUCCUGCAGGGAAAGUAUUUAGGGGAACAAAAAGGACGUAGAGAUGUGGAAUUCCAGAAAGCCUGUCACCACAUAAACUAAAAACCACCAUUAGGAGCUGAGUUUUCUUUACAAAAAUCUGACAGGAUCCAAAUAGCUUGUGUGGAAAUCGUGGUCACUAGAGGACAGGAGAGCUUUCUCUGCAAAUAGUUUAGCCUGGCUCUGUUUAAGCUCUGUUUUCAGUGUGCACGAGUUCUCUUUUCCCAUGUUGCUUUCCUUUGAUGUAGUUAUGCAUCGAUGAGAUGCUGAGUUUGUAAAGCUAGAAUAACUUUACAGUCAGAUGUCAGUCAAAAGAAAAAGCUUGUUGGAGGCUUCUGGUCCUGCAGUGUUUGAAGCAGUACCUCAUAUGGGAAUGGAGAUAAACUGGGGGAAUCCUGAAGUAAUAAAAUUUGUCCAGGUCAUAUUGUCCUGUUUUGAAGAAGAGUCUGUAAAGUGGGUGGCCAGAAAAUACUUGCAUCGUUUAGCUGGUGAGUUCAGUUGUUAGAUCUCCUUUCUGGUAUGGGUUGCAAGGUUUCUCUUCUGAUCUUGUGGUCCUGAUCUUCUCGUUCUUGAAGAGGUUGGCCAUUGCAGACAGCAUGGCGCUGCCUUCUUUGCUGGCUAUGUAAAUGUGCGCAGUAGGCACAUUGGGGCAGGGUUUAGGGAUGAAAUGAUAGGCACUUGGAAGUAGUAGCACAGCUUUGAAGUAGUAGCAAAGUUCUCAGGACUAAAACCUUGUGUAUGUGUGAGGGUGAGCAUUUUGGAGUCCAGUAAAAUGUUUACAGUAGUACUGCUGCUGUUGUGUUAGGGACUCCUGUGUUCAUUCCACUUUGUGCUAAGUCACUACUUUGAUUUAGGGAGACAGACACCAGCCGUGCUACUGCUUGCUUUUAGGUACAAGACAACUGCGAGUUAAAAGCAUCAUGUUUGUGAGGAAGAAAAGUAAGUGUUACAUUUAGAUGUCUUGGGACAAGAACUAAAGCUAGAUAGUUCUCAAGCGUGCCUGUGUGUUGUAUUGCUGAAUUCAUAGUUAAAUGGGUCCCUUAAUGUGCUUGCUUAACAUAUUUUCAUACUUGGACGAAUUUUGAAACUCCAGUCAAGUCAGUUGUGUCUCUAAAUAGAGUAUAAGAAGAUCUCAGUUCAAGUGUAAUUCCAAGACUAACCAAAGAUAACUUUGUGUAGCUUUCAAAAUUUUUUAUUAUUUUUUUUGUCUCAGACUCUUGUCACAAUGGUAAUAAAAUUUUCAAUACACAUUUCAGUGAGACUUUUUAAAUCUCCUUAUCUCUUCCGAUGGCAGGUGUGGAAAAAUGAAUAGAAGCCAGCCUUGGAUGUGACUGCUGGGAGCUGCUGUUGUUCCACUGGGCAGUAACUGACAGUCGAUAUUCAUUAACUGAUGCAUGAUAUCCAUUAAAAAAAAAAACAACAAUAAUAAUAAUAUGAAAA